GCUGGGCACAGUGGUGUGCACCUGUAAUCCCAGGUACUUGGAAACUGAGGUUGGAGGAUUGCUUGAGGCUAGGAGGCUUAGGCUGCAGUGAGCCGUGCUUGAAUCACUGCCCUCUAGCCUGGCCAACAGAGCAAGACCUUGUCUCUA
rfam:Homo sapiens chromosome 19, GRCh38 reference primary assembly.